AGUGAAUAGAUACCCAGGUAGUCCACGCCCUAAACGAUGCGCAUUAGACCGGUGCAGGUCUGACCCUGUAUUGGUCGUAGAGAAAUUGAUAAAUGCGCCGCCUGGGGAGUACGGUCGCAAGGCUAAAACUCAAAGGAAUUGACGGGGGCUCACACAAGCGGUGGAGCAUGUUGCUUAAUUCGAAGCAACGCGAAGAACCUUACCUGGGUUUGACAUGCACGGAUUAGUUCUUGGAAACAGGGAUGACACCCGCAAGGGUGGAACGUGCACAGGUGCUGCAUGGCUGUCGUCAGCUCGUGCUGUGAAGUGUCGGGUUAAGUCCUCUAACGAGCGCAACCCCUGUCGCUAGUUGCUAACGGGUAAUGCCGAGGACUCUAGCGAGACUGCCGGCGUAAGUCGGAGGAAGGCGGGGAUGACGUCAAGUCCUCAUGGCCCUUACAUCCAGGGUUGCAAACGUGCUACAAUGGUGCGUACAGAGCGACGCGAGGCCGCAAGGCGGAGCAAAUCGCAAAAAACCGCA
rnacentral:rRNA from 1 species